UACGUAGGGUGCGAGCGUUGUCCGGAAUUAUUGGGCGUAAAGAGCUUGUAGGUGGUUUGUCGCGUCUGCUGUGAAAAUCCGAGGCUCAACCUCGGACUUGCAGUGGGUACGGGCAGACUAGAGUGUGGUAGGGGAGACUGGAAUUCCUGGUGUAGCGGUGGAAUGCGCAGAUAUCAGGAGGAACACCGAUGGCGAAGGCAGGUCUCUGGGCCAUUACUGACACUGAGAAGCGGAAAGCA
rnacentral:rRNA from 1 species